rnacentral:snRNA from 1 species
GGAUGUGAGGGCGAUCUGGCUGCGACAUCUGUCACCCCAUUGAUCGCCAGGGUUGAUUCGGCUGAUCUGGCUGGCUAGGCGGGUGUCUCCUUCCUCCCUCACCGCUCCAUGUGCGCCCCUCCCGAAGCUGCGCGCUCCAAGAGGACGACCUUCCCGGAUAGAGGAGAGCAUCAUUCUUCUGUCAAGGGUAUACGAGUGGCUGUGCUCCCCUGCCAGAACCUCUAAACAAGCUCUCAAGGUUCCUUUGUAGGAGAACGUAGGGUGGUCAAGCUUCCAAGACUCCAGACACAUCCAAAUGAGGCACUGCACAUGGCAGUCUGCCUUU